AUUUUUAAUAGUAACUACCCAAGAUAUGGAAAAUCCUCUUCAUUGCCAUUGUUCUACAUUUCUAUUUUACCCUUCAAUUGGUUGUCUUUUAUAUUAUUAAAUGCAAAAUCUGACCCUUUGCACUUUAUAUCUUGUACUCCGCCAUCUUCGUUAUUUAUAAGUACUCCUUUCUUGUUUCUUUCAUAUCUUAGAAGGCAAUCUUGUAAAAAWUGUCAAAUUACGAUUUUUUGUAAAAAUAGUCAAAUUAACAGAUGUGGUUUAUUUAUCUUUGUCUUAUGAAUAUUUUUCUCUUAAUCCCAUGACCGAGUGCCAUCUUUUGUUUCUGUAGCUGCUGAUUGRUAUGAAGCAUGUGUGCCAUUCUUCUUGUUGGUUGAGAACUGCUCCAAUAUUCAUCGGUUGGUGGAUCAUAUGGCACCUUAAGGUUUGGCAGUUCUUAAUGGAAGUUCUGAUCACUUCAGAUCAAUGGGUUUUAUAUGUAUGUUUUAAGCAUGAGUAGUGAUCAUGGUUUUGUUUAUAGGUUUAGGUGAACAUUUGGAGCGUUUCGGAACAUUUGUGGUAAUUGUCAUAUUUGAUUCCUUCAUGAUCAUGCAUUUUCCUUCUCUAUAUCAUGGUUUUAAUGGAUGCUUUCCUUU